UACGUAGGGUGCGAGCGUUAAUCGGAAUUACUGGGCGUAAAGCGUGCGCAGGCGGUUUGUUAAGUCCGCUGUGAAAGCCCCGGGCUCAACCUGGGAAUGGCGGUGGAUACUGUCGGGCUAGAGUACGGAAGAGGCGAGUGGAAUUCCUGGUGUAGCGGUGAAAUGCGCAGAUAUCAGGAAGAACACCCGUGGCUAAGGCGGCUCUCUAGUAACGGUACUGACGCUGAGACGCGAAAGCGUGGGGAGCGAACAGG
rnacentral:rRNA from 1 species